UACGUAGGGAGCGAGCGUUGUCCGCAGUUACUGGGCGUAAAGCGCGCGUAGGCGGGCCAUUAAGUGAGAGGUGAAAUUCCAGGGCUCAACCCCGGAACUGCCUCUCAUACUGUUGGUCUUGAGUGAGGUAGAGAGAAGUGGAAUGGCUGGUGUAGCGGUGAAAUGCGUAGAUAUCAGUCGGAACACCGGUGGCGAAGGCGGCUUCUUGGGCCUUUACUGACGCUGAGGCGCGAAAGCCAGGGGAGCGAACGGG
rnacentral:rRNA from 1 species